GCCGAUGUAGCUCAGUUGGCCAGAGCACGUGAUUUGUAAUCUCGGGGUCGUGGGUUCGAAUCCCUCCAUCGGCU
rnacentral:tRNA from 4 species